GGAGCUCCAGCUACUCUGCCCAGAGGUUGGCCUUGAGCGCCCAUCACCUGCUCUGCUCUGUGCCAGGCACUGAAGGGGGACCCCCGCAAAGGGCAGCAGCCCCCUCUGGAAAGAGCUGGAGGGCUGGAGCUACACAAAGCGCUGGCACGGAGAGCUGAGAGCUGGGGGCUCAGCUCCGAAAUACAAGAUUCUACAAAUCUGUCAGGAAGAAUGACAGCAUCCGCCCAGAGCUCCGGGAGGAGGAGACAAAGGCUCCCUGGUGCCCCGGGAGGCGGCGGGCAGAGCAGGGGCAGGGCUGAGGUGUGCGGCAGGCACAUCCCAGGGCCCAUGGCUGUGCAGUCAGAAAUGGGGACCAGCGAGGGGGCUGCCUCGUGGGGAGCCGGGAGCUGCCCGACAUUGCUCCAGACUACGGAGCAGGCAAAGGGCUCUGUGGCUGGGCCCUCAGCUGGAAGACGCCACAAAAGAACUCAGAUGAGUCAGAGAUGAGGGUCUAAGGGGGCGGGCCCUGGCGGGGGAGGCCCCCUUUGGUUUGCCCGGGAAGAGAGGAGAUAAAGUUCCCUGGGACUCAGGAAGGCCGGUGGCUCUGGGCUUGGGAAUGUUUUUUCCUGGAAGCGGGCCAGCCCAACCGAGAGGCCGUGGGGACCUGAGUGUUCUAGCUGGAAGGUGGACUCCUUCCUCGUCAGCCACCACUUCAGCUCCUCAGCCCAGAGCCCAGGCUCCAGAAAUGCAAUGCAAUCAGCAACUACUGAUGUCUCAGGGAGCCAGGAGCCCAGCUAGUGAGUCCGGUGAGGAGCCUGCCCCAGAGAGCCUCCCCUCCCCUGGGGAUAGACAGACGGGUAGAGGAACAAUUGCAAAGUUACUGGAGGUUCGUCACAGUGUUGUUUAUAACAGCAAGCAUCUAGCGACAACCAGGACGACCAGCAGCUGAGAACCGAUCAAGUGAUACGCCUUACAUUGUACCCAAAAGACGGAGGACGCCACAGUCAUUUCAAAUUACCUUGGAGAAGAAUACUUGAUAACCUGGGGGAAGGUUCUCGAUAUUUUGUCUAAUGAAAUAAAAUAAUUUCUUCAAACUGAUAAUGCAUUUAUGAUUUCAUGAUUCUGUUUCUAAAUUUUUAAAAAUAUAUGGACAUUGUGUUAUGCUGUGAAAGUUACCUAUAUGUGUGUCAAUGUGUGCGCAUAUGUGUGAGUAUUGGGAAUAGGUGUGUGAAUACUCGUGUGUGUGCAUAUAAAUAUUUUUGCUUUUGGAAAAAAAUGUUCAAUUACAGUUUACAUUCACUCUUAUUUGUAUUAGUUUCCGGUGUACAGCAUAGUAGUUAGAUAAUCAUAUGCUUUACAAGUGGUCCCCCGAUAUUUCGGGUACCUGGCACCAUACACAGUUAUUACAAUAUUAUUGACCGUGUCCCCUAUAUUGUCAUCUACAUCCCUGUGCCUAUUCCGAGUAUGUACAUAUACUGUAUUUUUCAA